rnacentral:lncRNA from 1 species
UUUAGGGAUCAUGACUACGAAGACACUAUAAUAAGAAAACCAUUUAUAUAUAUGUUGAUAAUAUAGUCCAUGAUGUAAGAAAUUCUAUGUAGUCCGUAUAAAGAUACGUGUUAAAAGAAAAAUGAAAAUAAAAAUACAACCAUUAUAUAUCUCAGACCCCACGAUCUCAAUAUCUAUUUUGUAUUGUUCCCACCAUUAACUUUUACAAUCGACAGUUAUCAUCUUCUACCGCCGGAUCCUGUCAAGUGUUUCUCCACCAUUACCUCCUUCAUAGGUUUUUAACUUCUGUCAAAUUUCCAUAUUUAUUGAUUCUCUACUCUUGACAUCAACCUGAAAUUGAUUUGUAUUAAACAAAACUCUUUAUCAUCGAAGGCCAAUAUAAAUGAAAUCAUCAACAGCAAAGAAAGAAGGGUGGAGAGGAUGGCUAUUCGUUCCAAGAAGAAAAACAAUCAAACAGAAAAUCAGGGUAAUACUAAAUCAAAAAACCUAUUAAUCUAUUUCAUUUCUGCAAACCAAUGGUUGCUUUAACGUUUUUUCUAUCUUAUAUAUACAGAAAACAUUCCUCCUAAUUCUGAAGCUAACCCCAUAUCACCAAUGCAACCAAACAGAGUUUCACCUAAUAGCUUGAGUGAUAUUACAAAUGGUAUUAUCAAUUACUAAGAACAUGCGACUAACUGUGGAGUCAGAUCCAUUAGAAGUGGAUAUCAUUAAAGAGUUUUCUGAGUGGAUACUAAAACUUGGAGACGGUAAACUUUCUGAGCCAAACAACGGUGAAGCGGAGAUAGAUAUACCAGAGGAUAUGCUUCUCAAAGACUCUUUGGAUCCAAUCAAUUCAAUCGCACUUAGCACAUAUCCGUCUUUGCUUCAGAAUCUUGAUGAUGGGGACUAUUUCAAGGAACGUGCGAUACUUUGUCCUACUAAUGAUGUUGUUGAUGAGGUAAACAAUUACAUCAUGGACCUUCUUCCAGGAGAAUCACAUCAAUAUUAUAGUUCAUAUAAGAUCUGCAGUUCAGAUUCUUCAAGGACGAGGGACGAUGGUAUCUCAACGAUGCAAUUCUCGCUAUCUACAAUCUCAAUUACUAUCAAGAAGUGUUUUGAUGUUUAGUCAAUCAAACAAGCUUAAAAUCCUAUGUAAUUAUUCUUUUUCUUUUAGCAGACAGCUUAUUACGAUGGAACGUAUUUUAUUCAAUAUGUUUUUCAUCAUCAUCCAAAGACAAAUCCUCCUGCAAAAUCUAAUGCUUGAAAAGAAUUAAAUUCCGAAAACUUACUCCAUUUUUGCGUUCUUGGUCGAGAACACACGUUCAACUAAAUGACCGACAAUCCUUUUCUCAAAGAUC